CAUCGGAACGUGCCCAAUCUGGGGGAUAACGCAGCGAAAGCUGUGCUAAUACCGCAUACGAUCUACGGAUGAAAGCAGGGGAUCGCAAGACCUUGCGCGAAUGGAGCGGCCGAUGGCAGAUUAGGUAGUUGGUGAGGUAAAGGCUCACCAAGCCUUCGAUCUGUAGCUGGUCUGAGAGGACGACCAGCCACACUGGGACUGAGACACGGCCCAGACUCCUACGGGAGGCAGCAGUC
rnacentral:rRNA from 1 species